UACGUAGGGUGCGAGCGUUGUCCGGAAUUAUUGGGCGUAAAGAGCUUGUAGGCGGUUUGUCGCGUCUGCUGUGAAAUCUCAAGGCUCAACCUUGAGCUUGCAGUGGGUACGGGCAGACUAGAGUGUGGUAGGGGAGACUGGAAUUCCUGGUGUAGCGGUGAAAUGCGCAGAUAUCAGGAAGAACACCCGUGGCGGAAGGCGGCUCUCUGGGACGGUAC
rnacentral:rRNA from 1 species